rnacentral:rRNA from 1 species
UACGAAGGGGGCUAGCGUUGCUCGGAAUGACUGGGCGUAAAGGGCGCGUAGGCGGAUGGCACAGUCAGAUGUGAAAUUCCCGGGCUUAACCUGGGGGCUGCAUUUGAUACGUGUUGUCUAGAGUGAGGAAGAGGGUUGUGGAAUUCCCAGUGUAGAGGUGAAAUUCGUAGAUAUUGGGAAGAACACCGGUGGCGAAGGCGGCAACCUGGUCCUUGACUGACGCUGAGGCGCGAAAGCUAGGGGAGCAAACAGG